rnacentral:rRNA from 1 species
GAUGAACGCUGGCGGCGUGCCUAAUACAUGCAAGUCGAGCGAACAGACGAUGAGCUUGCUCCUCUGACGUUAGCGGCGGACGGGUGAGUAACACGUGGAUAACCUACCUAUAAGACUGGGAGAAAUUCGGGAAACCGGAGCUGAUACCGGAUAAUAUAUUGAACCGCAUGGUUCAAUAGUGAAAGACGGUUUUGCUGUCACUUAUAGAUGGAUCCGCGCCGCAUUAGCUAGUUGGUAAGGUAACGGCUUACCAAGGCAACGAUGCGUAGCCGACCUGAGAGGGUGAUCGGCCACACUGGAACUGAGACACGGUCCAGACUCCUACGGGAGGCAGCAGUAGGGAAUAUUCCGCAAUGGGCGAAAGCCUGACGGAGCAACGCCGCGUGAGUGAUGAAGGUCUUCGGAUCGUAAAACUCUGUUAUUAGGGAAGAACAACUGUGUAAGUAACUAUGCACGUCUUGACGGUACCUAAUCAGAAAGCCACGGCUAACUACGUG